rnacentral:rRNA from 1 species
CACGUAGGGAGCAAGCGUUGUCCGGAUUUAUUGGGCGUAAAGAGCUCGUAGGUGGUUCGGUAAGUCAGGUGUGAAACCUCCAGGCUCAACCUGGAGACGCCACUUGAUACUGCUGUGACUGGAGUCCGGUAGGGGAGCGUGGAAUUCCUGGUGUAGCGGUGAAAUGCGCAGAUAUCAGGAGGAACACCAGCGGCGAAGGCGGCGCUCUGGGCCGGUACUGACACUGAGGAGCGAAAGCGUGGGUAGCAAACAGG